rnacentral:rRNA from 1 species
CCUACGGGUGGCUGCAGUCGAGAAUCUUCGGCAAUGGGCGAAAGCCUGACCGAGCAAUGCCGCGUGCGGGAUGAAGGCCCUCGGGUUGUAAACCGUAAAAGUGAGGAGGAAGGCCCCGUGAAGAGCGGGGUUUGACCGAUCCACAGUAAGGACGGGCUAAGUUCGUGCCAGCAGCCGCGGUAACACGAACCGUCCGAACGUUAUUCGGAAUUAUUGGGCUUAAAGGGUGCGUAGGCGGCGCGUUAAGUCGGAUGUGAAAUCCCUCGGCUCAACCGAGGAACUGCGUCCGAUACUGGCGUGCUUGAGGGAGACAGGGGUGAGCGGAACUGAUGGUGGAGCGGUGAAAUGCGUUGAUAUCAUCAGGAACACCGGUGGCGAAAGCGGCUCACUGGGUCUCUUCUGACGCUGAGGCACGAAAGCUAGGGUAGCGAACGGGAUUA